CCUACGGGAGGCAGCAGUGGGGAAUAUUGCACAAUGGGCGCAAGCCUGAUGCAGCAACGCCGCGUGAGGGACGACGGCCUUCGGGUUGUAAACCUCUUUUAGUAGGGAAGAAGCGAAAGUGACGGUACCUACAGAAAAAGCACCGGCUAACUACGUGCCAGCAGCCGCGGUAAUACGUAGGGUGCAAGCGUUAUCCGGAAUUAUUGGGCGUAAAGAGCUCGUAGGCGGUUUGUCGCGUCUGCUGUGAAAACUGGAGGCUCAACCUCCAGCCUGCAGUGGGUACGGGCAAACUAGAGUGCGGUAGGGGAGAUUGGAAUUCCUGGUGUAGCGGUGGAAUGCGCAGAUAUCAGGAGGAACACCGAUGGCGAAGGCAGAUCUCUGGGCCGUAACUGACGCUGAGGAGCGAAAGCAUGGGGAGCGAACAGGAUUAGAUACCCUGGUAGUCCAUGCCGUAAACGUUGGGCGCUAGAUGUGGGGACCCAUUCCACGGUUUUCCGUGUCGCNGCUACGACAUAGUCGCCCGCCGUCGGGAGGACGGCCGCGACGACGUAAACUACAACGAAGUAGUAGCGCGNGACGAGCGACGACGACGACGACGGAGGGAGGAG
rnacentral:rRNA from 1 species